GCUGGCGGCGCGCCUAACACAUGCAAGUCGAGCGAGAAGCGGGGCUUCGGCCCCGUGGAAAGCGGCGAACGGGUGCGUAACACGUGAGCAACCUGCCCCGAAGACCGGGACAAGCCGGGGAAACCUGGUCUAAUACCGGAUGUCCUCACCGGAUCGCAUGGUCUGGUGAGGAAAUGGAUUCCGCUUCGGGAUGGGCUCGCGGUCUAUCAGCUUGUUGGUGGGGUAACGGCCUACCAAGGCGACGACGGAUAGCUGGUCUGAGAGGACGAUCAGCCACACUGGGACUGAGACACGGCCCAGACUCCUACGGGAGGCAGCAGUGGGGAAUCUUGCGCAAUGGGGGAAACCCUGACGCAGCGACGCCGCGUGCGGGAUGAAGGCCUUCUGGUUGUAAACCGCUUUCAGCAGGGACGAAAUUGACGGUACCUGCAGAA
rnacentral:rRNA from 1 species